rnacentral:ncRNA from 2 species
ACAACACGUUGGGGGUCCUGGUUGAUGCGGAAGCGCCGCGGCAAUCGGGUGAGAAACACCCUUCGAACCUGAUACGGAUAAUACCGUCGUAGGGAAGCGUGGCCGGUCAUCC